GACGAACGCUGGCGGCGUGCCUAACACAUGCAAGUUGAGCGACGAACCAGGGCUUGCCCUGGGGCAAAGCAGCGAACGGGUGAGUAACACGUGGGUAACCUGCCCCGAUGACCGGGACAACCCGAGGAAACUCGGGCUAAUACCGGAUGUGCUCGCCGGACAUCAGUCCGGUGCGUAAAGGAAGCUUCGGCCUCCGUAUCGGGAGGGGCCCGAGGCCCAUUAGCUAGUUGGUGAGGUAACGGCUCACCAAGGCCGCGAUGGGUAGCUGGUCUGAGAGGACGAUCAGCCACACUGGGACUGAGACACGGCCCAGACUCCUACGGGAGGCAGCAGUGGGGAAUCUUGCGCAAUGCGCGAAAGCGUGACGCAGCAACGCCGCGUGGGGGAAGAAGGCCUUCGGGUUGUAAACCCCUUUCAGGAGGGACGAAGGUUCGGCGGUGAAUAGCCGUCCGGACUGACGGUACCUCCACAAGAAGCCCCGGCUAACUACGUGCCAGCCGCCGCCGUAAAAC
rnacentral:rRNA from 1 species